rnacentral:tRNA from 1 species
GUCUAUCUAGUUCAGUUGGUAGAACACAAGGUUUUGAACCCUAUGGUCGUGGGUUCAAGCCCCACAGUUUGCA